UACGUAGGGUGCGAGCGUUGUCCGGAAUUACUGGGCGUAAAGAGCUCGUAGGUGGUUUGUCGCGUUGUCCGUGAAAACUCACAACUCAAUUGUGGGCGUGCGGGCGAUACGGGCAGACUGGAGUACUGCAGGGGAGACUGGAAUUCCUGGUGUAGCGGUGGAAUGCGCAGAUAUCAGGAGGAACGACCUGUGGCGAAGGCGGCUUUCUGGGCCUUACCUGACGCUGGAGACGCGAAAGCGUGGGGAGCGAACCGG
rnacentral:rRNA from 1 species